AUUUCAAUCUCAUCAUGUACUUGAUCGAACACAUCUAAGGCAGACCAUUUCGCGGGAUAUACUGAAAGUAACAGAUGAGUGCGAAAAUAUUGUCGGUACAGUGCAGUGAAUCCCCCAAUUCAAUGUUACCAACAGCGAAACAUCCAACUCGUUUUUUCCUGAAGUUAGAUACUAUUUUGAGAGCACCAUGCAGUUCUACAAAAUACAGAUGAAAAAUAUAACAAUCAUAUCUUGAAGAAUUGAAGUUUCAUGGAGGAAAAAGUAUUGUUUUUGGCAGUGAAAGGGCAAAUGCAUCAAAGUUGUCAGGUAAGUGUGGAACCCUGCAAGUCCCAAAAUACUCCAAACGGAGAAAAAACAAACGACACCAACGACCACGCUACCAGGAGAUACUUUUACAGCAUCUAGGAACGCUAUAUUAUCUCUUGUGACUUUUCUUAAAACCAAAUUGAAAACUACAACUUUAGCCCCAAAAAGAGUUUAAAAAAAUGUUCGCAAUUGCUACAUAAUAGAAUUUUGCUGCCAAUGGGCUAAAUGACGUUAAAGAUUUGAAAAAUAAAUAUGAGCCACUUACGCAUUAUGAGGUGAGU